rnacentral:misc_RNA from 1 species
GAUGAAGAACGCAGCGAAAUGCGAUACGUAAUGUGAAUUGCAGAAUUCAGUGAAUCAUCGAAUCUUUGAACGCAUAUUGCGCUCUCUGGUAUUCCGGAGAGCAUGCUUGUUUGAGUAUCAGUAAACACCUCAACUCCCUUUUCUUUUUUGAAAUUGGAGCUGGACUUGAGUGAUCCCAACGCUUUCUUCCAAGAAAGUGGCGGGUUGCUUGAAAUGCAGGUGCAGCUGAACUUUUCUCUGAGCUAUAAGCAUAUCUAUUUAGUCUGCCUAAAAAACAGAUUAGUACCUUUGCUGCAGCUAACAUAAAGGAGACUAGUUCUUGUGCUGACUGAUGCAGGAUUCACAGAGACAGCUUCGGCUGACUUUGUAAACUCGAUCUCAAAUCAAGUAAGACUACCCGCUGAACUUAAGCAUAUCAAUAAGCGGAGGA